GACUAGAUGCUAGGCAUUACAUGUGAUUCAAAUCACUUGAUCUUUAUAACAGGAAAGUGAUGUAUUAAGUAUUAAGAAAAAAAUAUAGAAGCUGAUCCUUUUGUGAAAUUUUGUUCACUGAUAAAAGUUUUAUAUUAAUAAAUGUGUAAAUUAGAUUUUUGAGACAGAAAGCAAAUGUUUCUAAAAAUAUUUUAUGUAGGAUAAGAAACAAGGAAAACGGAGAAAGAAAAAGAAGAACCGUUCACAUAAAUCUUCUGAAAGCUCCAUGUCAGAAACUGAAUCAGACAGUAAGGAUAGUUUAAAAAAGAAAAAGAAGUCAAAAGAUGGAACUGAGAAAGAAAAGGAUAUUAAAGGACUCAGCAAAAAGAGAAAGAUGUAUUCUGAAGAUAAACCUUUAUCAUCUGAGUCCUUGUCAGAAUCAGAGUAUAUUGAGGAGGUAAGUAUAUGAUCAAAUCCAUUUUCUCUAUUUUAAAAUGCUUAGUUAUUGAUUUAAUAAAUAUGACUUAGAAAGAGAAAUACUUCAUAUUUAAUUUAUUCACCUUUCUAGUAUGAAAAAACAAAAUGAAAGUUAUUUCAGAAUGAGUUUUGCUUUUUUCCAGAAGAUAAUUAUCUAUUAUUUUUUAUAAUUAACUGUAUUUCCACAUACCUUUCUAAUCUGAGAUAUUUUUAGUCUUCUAAUAUUUUCUUUUUAUUGUGCUACCAUUCUUAUUAC
rnacentral:sRNA from 1 species